GAAGGAAGGAAGGAAGGAAGGAAGGAUUGUCCAGCAUAAAGGCCACAGUACACAGAAUGGAGGAAAUAACAUAGUAUUUAAAAGAAAGAAAGAAGGGCAAGGGUAGAAAAGAAGUCUUGAUGCCUAAGGACACAUUUGGAAGUACCUGUACAAAGCCUCACACUACUCCACAUUACUCCAAAGAGCAAAGAUGUGAAAAAGUCUUCCAUGCAGUACUCACUAGUAACACUCUUGGUUACUUUUAUGAAAUCACCUCUGUUUCAAAUGUUCACAUGUGCUUGGGUGAAAUUCCUGACUUGUCUAAGGAUUCACACCAAACAGGCUUCAUAUCUUAUUAUCUACCUACAGGCAAUAACACCAAUUCUCACUUUUGAUCCUCCUCACUGUCCAGUUCCAAAAUCACUGACUUAGCUUGUGGAACUUGAAAAGUAACUCAGUCCUUGCCCUGACAAGAAACAGCCACCUCAACACACCUCAAGAUCUCCCGAGACAGGUCUGGAGUUAGGAAGGUGACAUUAUCCCCAGCAGAGCCCUGAGCCAGUGACUCAUCAUGGAACAGCUGAGCAGUUCCCACACCCAUCUUUGACCAACAGAGUUUUAUCCAGACAUCUAAAUUGCAAACUACAUUGCUCUGAACUUCUGCCUGUCAGAGAAAAAAAAAAAAAAAAAAAAAAAAAGAAGAAGAAAACAGAUUUGUGCUGAUCUUGCAUGAGUCUUUGCUAGAUUUCCUGUACAGACUCACAAAGAGGAAACAAAAUUGGAGAGUGAAGUGAAAAAGAAAAACUUGCAGCCCUCUAAAAUUCAUGGCCAAAAAGCUGAAGAAUGUUCUCUCCUCUACUGCUACCAGGCAUUCAGAAAGAGAGGCAAACCAGAAAGCUGAAUGCCUGAGUGAUCCCAUGACUACAAUAAUAGUAAUAAUUAACAAUAAGUAAUUGCCAGUUGUAUUGCCCUUCUCAUUGCAGAGUUCAUGAUGUCUUGCUUGUAAAUGUUUUGAGUUAAUGAUAAGAUUUCUGUUGACUGUUUAACACAGACAUGUGCUCGAGUUAAGAGAAGAGAGUUACAGAAUUUAUAACUAAAAGAUCCUGCGGGAUUUCAGACAUCUGAUUCCCCAGAAAUCUCAUGUAGGGAUUCAAUCUCCAUCUUUCAGGCAAAUCAUUGAUCUCUUGGCAGCUUGGGCACCUGCCUCAGGCAUGAUGUGUGGAUCAUGCAUGAGGAGAGGCUGGGUGCUCUUUCAGCAGUGCAUGCGCUUUGGUGUAGGCUUCACCUGUGUGUCUGCAAAGGGAGUAGUUAAACUGCUGUAAUCAACACAGUUACAGCAUGCUAUGUACUGCACAUGGUCUUACAUGCAUGGAUGAAAGGCUGUGACAGGAAAAAACAGUUACUGAAGGAGGAAAUGUCCCCUAAAUACUGAGAAGAAUUAUAUCCAGGUUGUCUGCUUUCUCACUUUAUGGUGAUCUCAGUGUUACCUGUCUUACAUGUGGGAUGUUUCCCCCGUUGUCUCCAGAUUUUGAAGUGUAUUUUCAUCUAUGAUUAACAUUUUAUGAACAUAUCAGUCAGAUGUCAUUUCUUUUCAGCAAUAAUAUAAUCCAUAAGUGCACACUUUUAUAGGAACAUCACAAGGUCUUAAAGUAGGAGUAAUCUCUAAUUGUAUGGAACAGCAGAACUUACAGGGAAAUAGGUAAAAAGCUCCCACCAUUUUAGCUUCUAUCCUUUCCAGACUGUAGAUUUCCAUGAAUUAUGAAAAAGACUAGAAAAAUCAUCAGGUUUCAUGUUCUGAUGCAUGAGGUUCAUUGUGGCUUAUUAAAAGAAAAAAAAAAUUGCAUAUCAAAUUAUAGAAGCUUUCCUUGUGAAAAUCUUUAUAUCUAAAGAUGUAAUAAAUAUGCAGUGUAUAACAAAUGAGUGCAUUUUAUUUCUGCUUGUGAUGCACAUUGCAUUCCCAUAUAAAAGUUAGAGGUUUUCCAGCCAAAUACUGACCUAACCAAUGUCUGCUGUAUUUUUAUGCUGUGAUAAUAGUAAAAAAAAAUGUGAUGGUCACUGUUACUUAAACACUAAGACAGUAUGCAGUCCUUUAAGGAAUGAUUCUCAAAAUCCUCCAGAACUCAAGUCACCGUGUUUUUUAAAGCUGAU
ensembl:lncRNA